rnacentral:rRNA from 1 species
CCUACGGGCGGCAGCAGUCGAGAAUCAUUCACAAUGGGGGAAACCCUGAUGGUGCGACGCCGCGUGGGGGAAUGAAGGUCUUCGGAUUGUAAACCCCUGUCAUGUGGGAGCAAAUUAAAAAGAUAGUACCACAAGAGGAAGAGACGGCUAACUCUGUGCCAGCAGCCGCGGUAAUACAGAGGUCUCAAGCGUUGUUCGGAAUCACUGGGCGUAAAGCGUGCGUAGGCUGUUUCGUAAGUCGUGUGUGAAAGGCGCGGGCUCAACCCGCGGACGGCACAUGAUACUGCGAGACUAGAGUGAUGGAGGGGGAACCGGAAUUCUCGGUGUAGCAGUGAAAUGCGUAGAUAUCGAGAGGAACACUCGUGGCGAAGGCGGGUUCCUGGACAUUAACUGACGCUGAGGCACGAAGGCCAGGGGAGCGAAAGGGAUUAGAUACCCCUGUAGUC